rfam:Schistosoma mattheei strain Denwood, Zambia genome assembly, scaffold: SMTD_scaffold0003878
AUCUAGCUGACAAGUCUCAAAUAGGACGGAACGUGCUUCAUGGAU